rnacentral:rRNA from 1 species
GAUAAACGCUGGCGGCGUGCCUAAUGCAUGCAAGUCGCACGGAGUGCUUCUUCGGGAGUACUGAGUGGCGAACGGGUGAGGAACGCGUGGACAACCUACCCCGGCGUGGGGGAUACCCGCCAGAAAUGGCGGCUAAUACCGCGUACGGUUCUCCGGCGAGAGGCUGGGGAAAGAAAGCAGUGAUGCGCGCUGGGAGGGGUCUGCGACCGAUUAGUUAGUUGGCGGGGUAACGGCUCACCAAGGCGAUGAUCGGUAGCUGGUCUGAGAGGAUGAUCAGCCACACGGGGACUGAGAGACGGCCCCGACUCCUACGGGAGGCAGCAGCAAGGAAUUUUCCGCAAUGGGGGCAACCCUGACGAGCAACGCCGCGUGACGGAUGACGCCUCUUGGGUGUAAACGUCUUUUGCCGAGGGAGAGAAUGGACGGUACUCGGCGAAUCAGGACCGGCUAAC